GGCUGGGGAGUUUGCUUCACCUAUGCUACAUGGUUUGCAUUAGCAGGGUUAGCUGUUGUUGGGAAAACAUACUCAAACAGCAAAACCGUUCGUAAAGGUGUCGAUUUUUUGCUUUCAAAGCAGAAGGUAAAUGGUGAUUGGGGAGAGAGCUAUCUUUCAUGCCCAAACAUGGUAAUUCUCAUUCUAACUCAGUGCCAUCGCUUGGAAAAUAUGAGCUGGAUAUUUUACUCGUCAGUUUAAUCAUCAUUGUACAGGUGUAUAUACACCUAGAGAGGGGGAUCACAUAAAUUUGGUACAAACCGCAUGGUGUUUGAUGGGUCUAAUUGAAGCCGGAUAGGUUGAGAGAGAUCCAACCCCUCUACACAAUGCAGCUAAGCUACUGAUUAAUUCACAGUUAGACAAUGGGGAUUUCCCUCAAGAGGAAAUCAUUGGAGUCUUCAUGAAUAACUGUAUGCUACACUAUGCGAGCUAUAGAAACAUCUUCCUGACAUGGGCUCUUGGAAUGUACUGUAAACGUGUUCUGAAGCCUUCCCAGAAGCUCUAAGCACUAAGCUCAAGUAGAAAGGUUUCCUCUAUAUGCUUUCUUCUUCUUUGCAAAAUAAGGUGUUUCGUCAUAUGUGAAUCUACUCAUCUUAAAUGUAUAAGUCAAUACAAGCUCAAUAGUAACAUAAAAAUGCAAGUCUUCAACAUCUUCUGUCA